rnacentral:rRNA from 1 species
UACAGAGGGUGCAAGCGUUAAUCGGAAUUACUGGGCGUAAGCGUGCGUAGACGGUAGCGUAAGUCGGGUGUGAAAGCCCCGGGCUCAACCUGGGAAUUGCAUUCGAGACUGCUCUGCUAGGGUGCGGAAGAGGGAAGCGGAAUUUCCGGUGUAGCGGUGAAAUGCGUAGAUAUCGGAAGGAACACCAGUGGCGAAAGCACUCUGCUGGGCCGACACUGACACUGAGAGACGAAAGCUAGGGGAGCGAAUGGG